UGAGACGCCUCUGGAAAGCGACGGGCCUGCCCGUCCGCCGACGGGGAAAGCCGCAGCUCGCGCCGCGGUGAAUCUCUCAGGCGCGGUGCCGGGCGGAGACAGAGGGGGAGGG
rnacentral:ncRNA from 2 species